rnacentral:rRNA from 1 species
CGUGUAGGCGGCCAGAUAAGUCCGCUGUGAAAACUCGAGGCUCAACUUCGAGCUGUCGGCGGAAACUAUCUGGCUAGAGUCCGGAAGAGGAGAGUGGAAUUCCUGGUGUAGCGGUGAAAUGCGCAGAUAUCAGGAAGAACACCCGUGGCGAAGGCGGCUCUCUGGGACGGUACUGACGCUGAGACGCGAAAGCGUGGGGAGCGAACA